rnacentral:rRNA from 1 species
UACGUAGGGGGCAAGCGUUGUCCGGAAUCAUUGGGCGUAAAGCGCGUGUAGGCGGCCCGGUAAGUCCGCUGUGAAAGUCGGGGGCUCAACCCUCGAAUGCCGGUGGAUACUGUCGGGCUAGAGUGCGGGAGAGGCGAGUGGAAGUUCCUGGUGUAGCGGUGAAAUGACGCAGAUAUCAGGAGGAACACCAAUUGCGAAGGCAGCUCGCUGGAACGUAACUGACGCUGAGGAGCGAAAGCGUGGGGAGCGAACAGG